GACGGAGGAUGCAAGUGUUAUCCGGAAUCACUGGGCGUAAAGCGUCUGUAGGUGGUCAAAUAAGUCAACUGUUAAAUCUUGAGGCUCAACCUCAAAAUCGCAGUCGAAACUAUUAGACUAGAGUAUAGUAGGGGUAAAGGGAAUUUCCAGUGGAGCGGUGAAAUGCGUAGAUAUUGGAAAGACCACCAAUGGCGAAGGCACUCUACUGGGCCAUUACUGACACUGAGAGACGAAAGCUAGGGGAGCAAAUGGG
rnacentral:rRNA from 1 species